AGGAAGAAGGAGAAAAUUGGAGCAGAAGCACAUGGUCUGGAAAAACUGCAAGUUCGAAAGGUUCUCACAAGCUCAGAAAGAUGGAGUGUAUUGGGCCCGAGAAGCUCUGCUCUGAGAUAACUGCCAUAGAGAAGAUUGGAGGACCUGGUUCCUAGAUAAUUCCGGAAGUGACAUCCUGAGUUACCUCUCCAUACCAUAGAGCUGGAAGGGGUUGCUUUCAUGGUCCAGGAACUCCUCUGCCUAGAAAGGAAAGCUAGCAGUGACCAACUGGAAGGGGGACAAGAGCAUGGGGCUGGAUUGGAAGUGGCCACGAAGGUCACAUCUGGCCUGGUGUCCUCACCUCCUGACACAGGGGUCUGAGUAUCACCUGUGAUCCCUGCCAGCAUCCACGAGACAGGCAAGAGAAAGAGUGCUUUGUGAAGGCCCUGCAGCAGAAGACAGACACAGAAGUGGAGCUUCAAGAAGCUUGAUCCCAGGGCCACUGGAGUUUGAGGACCAGUGGAUGGAGAGCCAUGAUACUCCAGGACAGCUCUGUAUGAUCUUCUCACAUCCAGGAAAUGGAGCAAGAGGAAAGCCAAGCAGAAGGCAUUCAUUUCCAGCACCCUCAACACCUUUUCACAGGACCGGGUGUGAAAUACUCCAGCAGAAACUGGAACAUGGAACAGACCAGGACAAGGUCUCCUUUGAAGAUAAAUUCUAUAGGGGGAUCUCUGCGUGUGCAAAGCAAAUACUUCAUCUCAUCCCCAGUAAUCAUGGCUAUCAUCUGCUGCAUUUUCUUCCUUUACUUUUGUUUCCUUGCAAUGAAUAGCCCUUAAUUUCAUCUGGACUCUGGCUCAGCAAGAGUGAGCAUGUAGCCGGAUUCAGACAUGUGCUGAGACACAUCAAGAGCUGCUGGGAAAACAGGAAGAUUCUGAGAGUGUAAAUUUUUCUUGUUCUGAUAGGUCAUCAAGGAAAAUUCGAAAAUCAUUUUAAAAAUUACCAAGACUUUGAGCUAAAUUCUGUAACAUGUUUUCUGCUUAGUCUUGGAUGUCCAUAUUCUUCAAAACCACACUCCAAAAAAGGAGACCUGCUUACAUUCCUCUUGUAUAGAUUGUUACCAGAAGUAACUUAUUUUCUACUGUGUUGCCAAAGACAGCCAUGGGCUGUAAGUCUGUGCUGCAAAAUAACAACCAAAGAAGGCUCUUUAGCACAAUUCUUGUUUUUAGAUUUUGAUUUGAGCUUUGAUUACUUUUGUUCUUUGGUUUUCUUUAGUUUCAUUAGAAGUUUUUUGUUUGUUUGUUUGUUUGUUUCUUUGGUGUUGUUUGGUUUUGUAAUUGAUUUAAUAUUUUGAUAAGGCUAUACACUGUACAUAUUGACUGCCCACUUUUAGUUACUAUUGAGUAAAUUGGAUGUAUUCUUAUGAAUAAAACAGUGAUCUC
rnacentral:lncRNA from 1 species